rnacentral:rRNA from 1 species
GCGCAGCAGGCGCGAAUCCUCCACAAUGCGGGAAACCGUGAUGGGGGGAAUCCGAGUGCCCGUUGGCUAAUGCUGGCGGGCUUUUCUCAAGCGUAAAAGGCUUGAGGAAUAAGGACUGGGUAAGACCGGUGCCAGCCGCCGCGGUAACACCGGCGGUCCAACUGGUGAUCAGCAUUACUGGGCCUAAAGCGUCCGUAGCCGGAUGGUUGGAUUCUGAGUGAAAUUUCCCAGCUCAACUGGGAAGCGUGCUUGGAACACCCGCCAUCUUGGGACC